UACGUAGGACCCGAGCGUUGUCCGGAUUUAUUGGGCGUAAAGCGAGCGCAGGUGGUUUAUUAAGUCUGGUGUAAAAGGCAGUGGCUCAACCAUUGUAUGCAUUGGAAACUGGUAGACUUGAGUGCAGGAGAGGAGAGUGGAAUUCCAUGUGUAGCGGUGAAAUGCGUAGAUAUAUGGAGGAACACCGGUGGCGAAAGCGGCUCUCUGGCCUGUAACUGACACUGAGGCUCGAAAGCGUGGGGAGCAAACAGG
rnacentral:rRNA from 1 species